UACGUAGGGGGCGAGCGUUGUCCGGAUUUAUCGGGCGUAAAGAGCUCGUAGGCGGUUUGGCAAGUCGGGUGUGAAAACUCCGGGCUCAACUCGGAGACGCCACUCGAUACUGCUAUGACUCGAGUCCGGUAGGGGAGUGCGGAAUUCCUGGUGUAGCGGUGAAAUGCGCAGAUAUCUGGAGGAACACCGAUGGCGAAGGCAGCCCCCUGGGCUAACACUGACGCUCAUGCACGAAAGCGUGGGGAGCAAACAGG
rnacentral:rRNA from 1 species